CGCCUCCAGCUGCGCCUCCGUCGCGAACGCGCACACCACGCCGAACCUGCCGCACACGCGCCGCCACCACCGGCCUCGUGGCUCAUUCACAUUCACUCCACUCUCUUACAAGCGAACCUUCGCUUUUACAGUACGGUCGGUACGUACCCGGCGAGCGGCAGCGACACGGCGAAGAGUACGGCGACGACGAUGACGGCGGUGGGCCCCGCGUAGUGCGCCAGCAGCGGCCGCCACUCCUUGCGCACCGACGGCAGCUCCAAGUGGCCGUCGGACACGUGCACCACGCCUGCCGACACGCGGACACACAGCGUCACUCACCGUGCCAUAGUUAGGCUGCACCUGCCGUCUGCCGGUCGCCGUCGCCUUUACAGCGGAUGGCAAGUGACUGUUGACCAGUGGAUUCUAGUUUUAAUUAGACUUAGCAUAUAUAGUGUAUGAUACAUCCUCUACGGUGGUGAUAACGCC